GCCGAGGUGGCGGAACAGGCAGACGCGGUGGACUCAAAAUCCACUGGGGUUUACCCCCGUGCGGGUUCGACUCCCGCCCUCGGCA
rnacentral:tRNA from 1 species